rnacentral:lncRNA from 1 species
AAAACCACUUUCAUCUCUGUUGAUUCUUCUAAACUUCUUAAUGACUGUGUCAGCUUCCUAUAAUUGUUCCUCCAGUAUAGGAUUUCCUCCAUCCCCUCCUACCAGCUCAGGCAAUGUCCUUCUGGUUUAUGCUUUAAAAUACUUGGACACACCACACAGACUAAAAGAAGAAACCAGCAUAUAUUGAAUGCAGAUAAUCUUAAAAGCAAAUGGGAAAAACAGACACCUGAACUGUACUUGCAUUUGUUAUGCUUGAUCAGGAUCUGUGAGCAGUCUGUUGGCUUUAAAUGGUUGCCUUAUGAUGACGUCUCAGGAAAAGGAAAAGGAAGCAUGAGAACACUUUCCUCUCUGGUCAAGCCCUGCACCAGCAGUGGAAGAAGCAGCUAUUCCUGCAUCCCCAUCCAGUAACCAGGUGAUUAGAAAAUUCAGGUGGGUUGUGGGAGACUUGAAUUCGCAACCACCUUCUGCCUGA